UACGUAGGGUGCGAGCGUUGUCCGGAAUUACUGGGCGUAAAGAGCUCGUAGGUGGUUUGUCGCGUUGUCCGUGAAAACUCACAGCUUAACUGUGGGCGUGCGGGCGAUACGGGCAGACUGGAGUACUGCAGGGGAGACUGGAAUUCCUGGUGUAGCGGUGGAAUGCGCAGAUAUCAGGAGGAACACCGGUGGCGAAGGCGGAUCUCUGGGCCAUUACUGACGCUGAGGAGCGAAAGCGUGGGGAGCGAACAGG
rnacentral:rRNA from 1 species